GCACGCCGCAGAGGGUAACGGCCCCGUAGCCGAAACUGCACAGCCUCGCUUCUGAAGUUCCUGAGUACGGCCGGGCACGGGAAACCCGGUCGGAACCCGCGGGGACCACCCCGCAAGGCUAAGUACUCCUUGGCGACCGAUAGCGAACUAGUACCGUGAGGGAAAGGUGAAAAGUACCCCGGAAGGGGAGUGAAAUAGCACCUGAAACCGUGUGCUUACAAGCGGUCGGAGCCGGCUUUGUCCGGUGACGGCGUGCCUUUUGCAUAAUGAGCCAGCGAGUUACUCGUCCACGGCGAGGUUAAGGAAACGGAGCCGUAGCGAAAGCGAGUCUGAACAGGGCGUUCAGUCGUGGGCGGUAGACCCGAAACUGAGUGAUCUAUCCAUGGGCAGGUUGAAGCGGGGGUAAGACCCCGUGGAGGACCGAACCGACCUAGGUUGAAAACUGGGCGGAUGACCUGUGGAUCGGAGUGAAAGGCUAAUCAAACUCAGAGAUAUCUGGUUCUCCCCGAAAUAUAUUUAGGUAUAGCCUCACACGUUCAAUUGCGGUUGUAGAGCACUGUUUGGCCUAGGGGGCCUACCAGCUUACCGAAGUCAGGCAAACUCCGAAUGCCGUAAUUCCAGAGUGUGGGAGUCAGAGUGCGGGGGAUAAGCUUCGUGCUCAAAAGGGAAACAGCCCAGACCGUCGGCUAAGGCCCCUAAUUCCAUGCUAAGUGGGAAACGAUGUCCGAUUGCAGAGACAACCAGGAUGUUGGCUUAGAAGCAGCCACCAUUCAAAGAGUGCGUAACAGCUCACUGGUCAAGUGGUCGGGCGCGGACAAUGUAACGGGGCUCAAGCAUGGAGCCGAAGCCACGGACUUCACGCAAGUGGAGUGGUAGGGGAGCGUUCCCAGGCCGGCGAAGCGGCGGCGUAAGCCAGCCGUGGAGGCCUGGGAAGUGAGAAUGCUGGCACGAGUAACGAAAGACAUGUGAGAAACAUGUCCGCCGAAUGCCCAAGGGUUCCUGAGUAAAGCUAAUCUGCUCAGGGUUAGUCGGGACCUAAGCCGAGGCCGACAGGCGUAGGCGAUGGACAACUGGUUGAUAUUCCAGUACCACGUCCCCACCGCUAUCACCGAUGGCGGGACGGGGUAGGCUAAGCCAACCCAGGCGAUGGUCGACCUGGGGUAACCGCGUAGGGCGAGGGAUAGGGAAAUCCGUUCCUCAUUCAGCCUGAGACGGGAUGCCGAGGGCGCUCAGCCCGAAGUGGCCGAAACCAUGCCUCCUAGAAAAGCGUCUAGGGAGGUGGGACGUGCCCGUACCAAAACCGACACAGGUGGGCAGGUAGAGAAUACCAAGGCGAUCGGAAGAACCCUCGAAAAGGAACUCGGCAAAAUGGCCCCGUAACUUCGGGAGAAGGGGCGCCACGGUAGGGUGACAAUCCUUCGCGGAUUCGAGCCCGAGGUGGCCGCAGUGAAACGGCCCAAGCGACUGUUUACCAAAAACACAGGUCUCUGCGAAGUCGAAAGACGACGUAUAGGGGCUGACGCCUGCCCGGUGCCGGAAGGUCACGAGGAGAGGUUAGCCUUCGGGCGAAGCUUCGAAUCCAAGCCCCGGUAAACGGCGGCGGUAACUAUAACCGUCCUAAGGUGACAUGCCUGAAAAGACAGUGUGCAGCUGUCCAGGCAAAUCGUUGCCCCCCACAUCAGUAAUGGUGUGGUGCGCAUCUGGCCAUAUGCUGGAAAACCCGGUGUAUCCCGCACUACUCGAAGCGUCCGACGCGACGCCUAGAGUGACAAUGUGACGGGUGCGGAAAACCAGCAGGAAAGGCUGAUCGAGUUCCGUGGCUGGGUGAUCGGUUUCGUAGACGGAGAAGGAUGCUUCUCGAUCGGUUUCGUUCGGCAACCACGCCGGCCGGACCGAAACGGCUAUCGAACCGGUUUCCAGGUGACACACGAGUUCGUGGUGACGCAGGGCGAGCAAAGCUUGUCCUCGUUGUACGAGCUCCGUGACUUCUUCGGUGUCGGGCAAGUGAUCGUCAACCGGCGGUACGACAACCACCGGGAGCACUUGCACCGAUACGUCGUGCGAAGGCGUGACGAGUUGCUGGAGACGGUCAUCCCGUUCUUCCGGCAGCACCGGCUACGAACGUCGAAGUGUGAGAACUUCGACAAGUUCGCGAAGUGCGUCGAAAUGAUCUCGGCCNNNNNNNNNNNNNNNNNNNNNNNNNNNNNNNNNNNNNNNNNNNNNNNNNNNNNNNGAGACUAUACGCCAGAGACCCUCGACACAGGGUCAUGAGAUAGUCCCGACUGCAUGGCGACAUGCAGGGGAGCGGCAUCAAAGGAAGUGCCAUUCCCGUUCGGCUUGUCCGAAUUGGACAUGUCCGAAUAAGGCAAAAGCGAAAUUCCUUGUCGGGUAAGUUCCGACCUGCACGAAUGGCGUAACGACUUGGGCGCUGUCUCUUCGAGGGAUCCGGUGAAACUGUAGUCUCGGUGAAGAUGCCGAGUACCCGUGGUUGGACGGAAAGACCCCGUGAACCUUUACUACAGCUAGAUGUUGGAGUUCGGGGUACGUUGUCCAGGAUAGGUGGGAGGCUGUGAAGCCGGCACGCCAGUGUCGGUGGAGCCAAUCUUGGGAUACCACCCUUCGUAGUCUGGGCUUCUAACCCGCUGCCGUGAUCCGGGGCGGGAACAGCAUCUGGUGGGUAGUUUGACUGGGGCGGUCGCCUCCUAAAAUGUAACGGAGGCGCGCAAAGGUUCCCUCAGCACGGUUGGAAAUCGUGCGUAGAGCGUAAUGGCAUAAGGGAGCUUGACUGCGAGAGCGACAGCUCGAGCAGGCG
rnacentral:rRNA from 1 species